GAUACAGAUCGGUUUAUUAGAGUACACAGAUUUAUUAUUCUCUGUGAACUAUGCAAAAGUGAAUUUGAUUCACAGAAAGACUUUCACUUUACUGAAUGUUUCAAAAAAUGAUGAGCAAAUACAGAAAAUUUUCAGGAGAUUCACACAGAUCUUCCACACUCCUUAUCUGUGACAAAGACUUGGCGUCCCACUCGCUCACUAUUUUUCCCCGUGUUAGCCUGGAUACUGGAGACUUGGAGAGCAGAGCUUGCUUGGGAGAUGCUACGUUUGUGAGUACCUAUGUCCUCGAGGCUUAAAAAUGGACAGAAGCUGCUUUUCCAUCACCUGCCUGCCUGCAGUGAGAUCUGUUCAGAGAAACCUCACAAGAACAAGCCUCAGCAAAGUAAACAAGAAGGGCUGGAAUAACCACUGUCUGAAGGAUAUGCCAGCACACACUAAAAUAUUUGCUAAUUGGAAAUAUAUUGUCCCACUGUGCUGUGAGCUCCAGCUCUGACUCACAAAAUAUCAGCUGGCUUCAGACUGAAUUUUGAGGUUGAUAACCUCAUCACAUGUGUACCAAAAGUGCCCAGAAGAAAGAAGGCUGCAGUGACACUGAGCACCGAUUUCUGCUUUCUGUUUCUGACCUGCUUUCAGCUGGGACAGAGUUGAUUUUCUUCGUAGUGUUUGGUAUGAUGUUAUGUUACGGAGUUUCGGCUUUAGGAGAAGAACAAUGUUGAGAACACACCAAUGCUUUAGAUGUUGCUGAGCAGUGGCUGCACAAAGCCAAGAACAUUUCAGUUUCUCAUCCCGCCAGUGAGGGGUGCCAGGCACAAGGAGCUGGGAGGGGACAGAACCAGGGCAGCUUCCCUGAUCUGGCCAAAGGGAUAUUCCAUACCAUAUGACAUCAUAAAAAAAACUGGGGGGAGUUGGCCAGGGAAGUCAGUCACUGCUCAGGGUCUGUUUGGGCAUCAGUUGGCAGGUGUCUUCUCCCCUCUCCCAUUGGGAGGGUGGGCAGUGAGCAAACUGCAUGGUGCUGAGCUGCUGCCAGAUUAAACCACCACAGACAGGAAUUUGGCCAGUGUGUGUGAAUUAUGCAUAAAAUCCACAGCAAGAUAGUUGCAUAAAACUGCAGUAUAACAAAGACUCAUCAUAGCAAUACACGUUAUCCAAGAGUUAUAUAGUUUUCUACACGGAGUCAAAGCAAAGAAGGAUUUGGAAGAAUUUACCAGAAAGCUGAUUAUAUAGUUUCUUGCCAAGAAGAAUCACAAGAGCAACCGGGGAGCAGAUGCUCAUUCCAGCUGAGACUCCCAGUGCUCUGCUAAGAGCUUCCUCCCUGCCUCCUCUGACUGUGCUGGCUCUGAGCAGACCCAGCAAACCCUGCUGGCCAACGACUGACCAUGUGAUGAAGGCAGCAGAUCUGUUCUGGUGACUUUAUUCUGUAUUUUAGGUGCAGUCUAAUCAUGCAGUAUUCCUCUUGCCUUGAGGUGAAUGCUGCAAGAUGGAUAUAGAUACGCACAGUGCACUGCUCUCCACUCAAGGGAAGACAUUUCACUGUUGUUUAAUCCCAUAUUAAUUGGACCCACUUCAAUAUCAAUUAAUUAUUUACCUGGAGACUCUUCAACAUGAGAAGGAAAUAUUCUGCCUUCCAUUAUGUACUUAUUAGCAAAUAGAUCAGAAAUGGGAUCUCCCUGAGUAAGCCUUCCCAGAGACAACUGUGCACAUCUCUGUUGGUGCAAGACUGAAAACAUGACCGAAGUAAGAGUCCCCUGAACAGAAGUUCCCAAAGGGCCAACAUCACAACCAUCACCAGGGCAUGACAGCAAGAAGCUAAACUAUCACUUCAGCACGUGGUGGGCGGUACCCAGGCUUCAGUACUGGUGUGCUCUCUGAUUCAGAAAGGAAGCAGUGGAGUCUGAAGAGAUGAACCUGGUGGGAGGAAGGGCCGUGCUGGUGCCAGGAUCUGCUGCCUCUCUCUCCUUUCUUUACAGAGAAUUUUAUUCACACACACAUUAGAGACUUUACCGCUGCUCUGGGAGCAUAAUAGCAUCUUAAAGUGGGUGGAUAUCACUGUUCCACCAAUUUAAAAUCAUUUUUGAUUGUCAGAGUGGUAUAAAGGAGUAAAUAAAGUGUGGUAGUAAUUUGAUCUCGUAUCCGUAGGGGG